ACUCAAAGGAAUUGACGGGGGCCCGCACAAGCGGUGGAUGAUGUGGUUUAAUUCGAUGCAACGCGAAAAACCUUACCUACCCUUGACAUGCCAGGAACUUCCCAGAAAUGGGAAGGUGCCCGAAAGGGAACCUGGACACAGGUGCUGCAUGGCUGUCGUCAGCUCGUGUCGUGAGAUGUUGGGUUAAGUCCCGCAACGAGCGCAACCCUUGCCAUUAGUUGCUACAUUUAGUUGGGCACUCUAAUGGGACUGCCGGUGACAAACCGGAGGAAGGUGGGGAUGACGUCAAGUCCUCAUGGCCCUUAUGGGUAGGGCUACACACGUCAUACAAUGGUCGGUACAGAGGGUUGCCAACCCGCGAGGGGGAGCCAAUCUCAGAAAGCCGAUCGUAGUCCGGAUAGCAGUCUGCAACUCGACUGCUUGAAGUCGGAAUCGCUAGUAAUCGCGGAUCAGCAUGUCGCGGUGAAUACGUUCCCGGGCCUUGUACACACCGCCCGU
rnacentral:rRNA from 1 species